UGGCCGUUGCUCCUCCUCCGCUGCCGCCAACCUUCCAUCCUCGUCUUCUUCGGCGAGACCGCCUUCAACGGCGUCGUCGAGGCUAGGAGCUCAAGAAUUUAACCAUUCGCGUCGCUCACGUGCUUCCUGUUUCCGACGACGGAGGAACCACCGCCUAGAUUGUCCGCGUCCUCGGUGGUCCAGCCGAUCAAAGCACCUCCGAGGCGGUCGCCGUCCCGCAAUUGCUUGGUCAUUGUUUACCACUUGAUGCACGGCAAGCCAAAUCUGAAUGGUUGAAAUGUUUGCAGACUCGUGGGGUGCGAUUUGGGCAAGCAAAUGCUAAGAAGGCUAUUGGUUUCGCUGAGGUAUGUUACGGUGUGUAUCAAAAUUUAAUUUCCCAGGCUAUGAAGCUCUCUUCAAUUGCAUUAUAAUUUAAAGUUCUUUUCUGGUUAAGUGAUAUCGAUUAUCCCUUAUAGUGCUGUUCAGCUUUUUGCUUAUAGUGUUGUUCAGCUUUUUGAUAAAGAACAGUAGUUUGAAUGACAAUUUUG